CAGGCCUAACACAUGCAAGUCGAGCGGUAACAGAUCCAGCUUGCUGGAUGCUGACGAGCGGCGGACGGGUGAGUAACGCAUAGGAAUUUACCCGAUAGUGGGGGAUAACCUGGGGAAACUCAGGCUAAUACCGCAUACGUCCUACGGGAGAAAGGGGGCCUUGGCUCCCGCUAUCGGAUGAGCCUAUGCCGGAUUAGCUGGUUGGUGAGGUAAUGGCUCACCAAGGCGACGAUCCGUAGCUGGUCUGAGAGGAUGAUCAGCCACAUCGGGACUGAGACACGGCCCGAACUCCUACGGGAGGCAGCAGUGGGGAAUAUUGGACAAUGGGGGCAACCCUGAUCCAGCCAUGCCGCGUGUGUGAAGAAGGCCCUCGGGUCGUAAAGCACUUUCAGCGAGGAAGAACGCCUGGCGGUUAAUACCCGCCAGGAAAGACAUCACUCGCAGAAGAAGCACCGGCUAACUCCGUGCCAGCAGCCGCGGUAAUACGGAGGGUGCAAGCGUUAAUCGGAAUUACUGGGCGUAAAGCGCGCGUAGGUGGCUUGAUAAGCCGGUUGUGAAAGCCCCGGGCUCAACCUGGGAACGGCAUCCGGAACUGUCAGGCUAGAGUGCAGGAGAGGAAGGUAGAAUUCCCGGUGUAGCGGUGAAAUGCGUAGAGAUCGGGAGGAAUACCAGUGGCGAAGGCGGCCUUCUGGACUGACACUGACACUGAGGUGCGAAAGCGUGGGUAGCAAACAGGAUUAGAUACCCUGGUAGUCCACGCCGUAAACGAUGUCGACCAGCCGUUGGGUGCCUAGUGCACUUUGUGGCGAAGUUAA
rnacentral:rRNA from 1 species